rnacentral:rRNA from 1 species
UACGUAGGGUGCAAGCGUUAAUCGGAAUUACUGGGCGUAAAGCGUGCGCAGGCGGUUUUGUAAGUCAGAUGUGAAAUCCCCGGGCUUAACCUGGGAACUGCAUUUGUGACUGCAUCGCUGGAGUGCGGCAGAGGGGGAUGGAAUUCCGCGUGUAGCAGUGAAAUGCGUAGAUAUGCGGAGGAACACCGAUGGCGAAGGCAAUCCCCUGGGCCUGCACUGACGCUCAUGCACGAAAGCGUGGGGAGCAAACAGG